rnacentral:lncRNA from 1 species
UCCUCUCUCUCCCUUCCCUCUCUCCAUGGCAGAAACCAAACAAAAAUUAAAAAUUCUUCCCAAAAUUGAAGAAAUUGCAUAAACCAAAUCGAAGAAAUCAAAGAAACCAAACAAAUUUUUCAGAAACCAGAUCGAAAUUAAUUCCAAACAAGUUUCAAAAUUAAAUCCCCAAAUCGGAGCCCUAUAUUCCCAAAUCCACG